rnacentral:rRNA from 1 species
AUGCGGACACCUGAAAAACCAAAUCUUAGAGCAGCGACCAUCGUUCCCCUUUGCCAAAUCCCAACUUCUGUAGCCCAGGGUCGAUGUCAGCCGGUGCAAAAUCCCCGGCUCGACGCGCUCCAUCCCCGCCAACAACGACCAUGUUCGGUGGCAGUACAGCUUGCGUCUGCACUCUAUCUAGUUGUCACAUCUGCCCACAAGCAUGCUCCUCCCUUGCUCAUGGUGCUCCAUCCCUGUUGGAAACAACCACGUUCGUCGACGACUGAGCUCGCCACACCACCCCGGAUGCUUGUCCCCGUCAGCGAGUAG